rnacentral:rRNA from 1 species
AACGAACGUUGGCGGCGUGGAUUAGGCAUGCAAGUCGAACGAAUCCCCGCGGGCUUGCCCGCGGGGGGAAGUGGCGAAAGGGGCAGUAAGGCGUGGGUAACCUACCCCGGGGACCGGGAUAGCCGCCCUAACGGGCGGGUAAUACCGGGCGACGUAGCGGAGGGGCAUCUCUCUGCUACCAAAUGAAUUUCGCCCCGGGAGGGGCUCACGUGGUAUUAGCUAGUUGGUGGGGUAACGGCCCACCAAGGCGAAGAUGCCUAGCGGGUGUGAGAGCACGACCCGCGCCACUGGCACUGCGACACUGGCCAGACUCCUACGGGAGGCUGCAGUCGAGGAUCUUCCGCAAUGGGCGCAAGCCUGACGGAGCGACGCCGCGUGGGCGAUGAAGGCCUUCGGGUUGUAAAGCCCUUUUGUACGGGAGGAAGGCGCAAGCUUGACUGUACCGUACGAAUAAGCUCGGGCUAAGUUCGUGCCAGCCGCCGCGGUAACAC